UGGGGGGAACCCUGAUCCAGCCGUGCCGCGUGUGUGAAGAAGGCCUUUUGGUUGUAAAGCACUUUAAGCGAGGAGGAGGCUACUGGUAUUAAUACUACCGGAUAGUGGACGUUACUCGCAGAAUAAGCACCGGCUAACUCUGUGCCAGCAGCCGCGGUAAUACAGAGGGUGCGAGCGUUAAUCGGAUUUACUGGGCGUAAAGCGUGCGUAGGCGGCUUUUUAAGUCGGAUGUGAAAUCCCUGAGCUUAACUUAGGAAUUGCAUUCGAUACUGGGAGGCUAGAGUAUGGGAGAGGAUGGUAGAAUUCCAGGUGUAGCGGUGAAAUGCGUAGAGAUCUGGAGGAAUACCGAUGGCGAAGGCAGCCAUCUGGCCUAAUACUGACGCUGAGGUACGAAAGCAUGGGGAGCAAACAGGAUUAGAUACCCUGGUAGUCCAUGCCGUAAACGAUGUCUACUAGCCGUUGGGGCCUUUGAGGCUUUAGUGGCGCAGCUAACGCGAUAAGUAGACCGCCUGGGGAGU
rnacentral:rRNA from 1 species